UUAGCAUUAAAUGUCAUCUGGAUGCCUCAUGGAUACCCCAUGGAUGCUGGCCCAAUGAGUCGAUGAUGUCCUUAUGCCACAAAUCAUUAAGUUUGAGUGAUGGAAUCGCUCCAGAACACUGGAAUCCGGAGCUGUGAUCGCGGCUAUUGCUAUCAAUCCCUAGCAGCACCGCAGCUCUCCAUACCACCCGAAAUAUCCCCUACACCAUAGCCAAGAACAGAUUCUACAGAGCAUAGAAUAAUAGAGCACUAAAGUAGGGCACUAAGGCAAGGAAGCGUACUUGUCAUCGCCUUCUCCCCUGCGUUGCCAUCCAGCUCGUCCCCGGCAGCUCCAGCUUGGUGACCUCCAUCCUCAAGAAUUGCAAGGAAGUAAGAGGAUUCAACUAUUGCCUAGACGCUGUGGCGGGUAACAAUGGGAGCAUUGAUGAUUGCGAGCAGCACAGUGGCGGUCGGCAAUGCGGGGAGGACACGGCGAUGGCCGUUGAUGACGAUCAAGGCUGCCACACUCCCAAAUUCUAGAUGGAGUUAGAUGGAGUAUGCUUGCUAUGACAUUAUGUUAAAAGAGGUGUGCCAAAAAAGGAUAAUUCAAUUCUUUUGCCAUGAGCCCCAAGAGCAAGAUGUGAAAACAUAGUGCUCUAGAUAAAGUAGUAUGAUAUGCAAUUUAGUCGAUUGUCCAUUUGGUUUGCAACAUUAACAACUUGCUAGAAUGCAUGGGAUGAAUGGGUUUAUGGGCCAUGAAUGGCUCCAUUCCAUACAUAGCAUGGGUCAUUGCUA
rnacentral:lncRNA from 1 species